UACGUAGGGUGCGAGCGUUUGUCCGGAAUUAUUGGGCGUAAAGGGCUCGUAGGCGGUUUGUCGCGUCGGGAGUGAAACCAUGGGCUUAACUCAUGGCUUGCUUCCGAUACGGGCAGACUAGAGGUAUGCAGGGGAGAACGGAAUUCCUGGUGUAGCGGUGAAAUGCGCAGAUAUCAGGAGGAAUACCGAUGGCGAAGGCAGGUCUCUGGGCUGACACUGACGCUCAUGCACGAAAGCGUGGGGAGCAAACAGG
rnacentral:rRNA from 1 species